UAGGGAAUCUUCGGCAAUGGACGAAAGUCUGACCGAGCAACGCCGCGUGAGUGAAGAAGGUUUUCGGAUCGUAAUACUCUGUUGUUAGAGAAGAACAAGGACGUUAGUAACUGAACGUCCCCUGACGGUAUCUAACCAGAAAGCCACGGCUAACUACGUGCCAGCAGCCGCGGUAAUACGUAGGUGGCAAGCGUUGUCCGGAUUUACUGGGCGUAAAGCGAGCGCAGGCGGUUUCUUAAGUCUGAUGUGAAAGCCCCCGGCUCAACCGGGGAGGGUCAUUGGAAACUGAGGGACUUGAGUGCAGAAGAGGAGAGUGGAAUUCCAUGUGUAGCGGUGAAAUGCGUAGUUAUAUGGAGGAACACCAGUGGCGAAGGCGGCUCGCUGGUCUGUAACUGACGCUGAGGCUCGAAAGCGUGGGGAGCAAACAGG
rnacentral:rRNA from 1 species